ensembl:lncRNA
GUUCUAUUCUGUUUCUAUGAGUUUGACUUUUUUGAACCCCACAUAUAUGAGAGAUCUUACGGUAUUUAUCUUUCUCUUUGACUUAUUUUACUGAGCAAAAUGCCCUUUAGAUUAAUCUAUGUUGUCACAAAUGACAGAAUUUCCUUCUUUUUGUGGCUGAAUAAUAUUCCAGUGUAUGUGUGCGAUAUUUUCUUUAUCCCAUCAUCUGCUGGACACUUACAUUGUUUCAAUGUCUUGGCUAUUGUGAAUAAUGCUGCAAUGAACAUGGGAGUGCAACUAUCUCUUUGAAAUGCUGAUUUUGUUUCUUCUGGGUGAAUACCCAGAAGUAGGUUUGUUGGAUCAUAUGGUAAUUAUAUUUUUAACUUUUAAAGGAAUCUCCAUACUGUUUAAUAUAAUGGCUGUACUAAUUUAUGUUCUCACCAAUGGUGCACAGGGGUUCCCUUUUCUUCAUAUCCUACUCAAAGCAAUCUACAGAUUCAAUGCAAUCUGUUUUCUCUCUGUCAACUAAGGGUCCUUCUCAGCUUCUGGAAGCCACCAUGGUUUCUUUUUACAUAACCUUCUCCAUAGACUCUAUCAUGAAAUGGCAGUUUAAUUCUUCAUAACCAGUGCUGAUGUUUCUAUUCCUACAGAGAACUCAGUUUCCCCUUUGAGGGCCUUAUUCUGAUUAAGUCAGGCCCACCCCAGAACACUUCCCCUUUUAUUGACUCAAAAGAAACUGAUGUGAGGCCUUAAUGACAUCUGCAAAAAUAUCCUUUCAUCUUUUCCAUAUUCUAUUGGUCAGAAGUAAGUCACAGGUUCCACCCACGCUUAAGGGAAUGGUUAUACAGGGUGUGAACACAAGGGCGCAGGAAUCAUGGGGACUGCCCUAGGGUCCACCAACCACAGUGAGAAUCAUGUGUUUGUCCUUAACUCUAAAAUCCAUGUUCUUUUCCAGUAACUGCUGACAAUCUGUCGUGUGGAAUUUUAGGGGCAGAGGAAAUGCUGGUCAGCCAGGGGAAGAACAUGAAAGGUAUAACAAGAGGGAAGAAGAGGGAACUGGAGACAGAGAGACAUAUUCAUGCCACGAAUCAGAAAGAAAACAACAAAGUGUCAUCUGAUUUCCUCACACUGAGUGGCUCCCCAUGUGAUUCGGGUGUUGUGGACACUUAUGUCCUGGUGACUGCACCUCCCAACUCAAGCUGCCAAUCAUGUUAUUUUCCCUAAAAUGUUCCCUUCCCAAAAUGGAAACCUCAUGUUUGUUGUCAAGAUAAUAAAAGUUGCACAUUAGCGGCACAUUUGUAAUCUUGCUAAAUCAGAGGUCCUAGAGGAUACUUACUUAAUUUGUCUUACUCAUUUUGGGAAUACCCAGUCCCCUGCCAUGAGUCUAACAAGCCUUCAAUAUGCAGAUUGUAUGGAGCAUUGGAAAGAUAUAUUGAAACUUAGCAAGCUUACAUAGAAAAUACUAUUCAAGUGCAACCUGUGUUUCUUGCUAAUUUGCAGGAAUUUAUGCUUUCUUCUGUUUGCUGGACUUCAGAACCAUGGAACUUGAAUAUUGUAUCAUAAAAUAUAGCAUCAUAUUAUAUCAAACUCCACACUCCUAGACCUACCAUCUCAAAUACACUGCAUCGUGCAUCUCCAAACACACCAUGUAUACACUACAUUUACCACUCCAACUGUUUUACCUGCCAUGCCAAAUACCACAUCCUAACAGCACCCACAACAGCCCCGCCUACCAUGCCCAACACACCAUACUGCACCACAGUGCAUAAUACACACU